rnacentral:misc_RNA from 1 species
GAUGAAGAACGCAGUGAAAUGCGAUAAGUAAUGUGAAUUGCAGAAUUCAGUGAAUCAUCGAAUCUUUGAACGCACAUUGCGCCCGCCAGUAUUCUGGCGGGCAUGCCUGUUCGAGCGUCAUUACAACCCUCAGGCCCCCGGGCCUGGCGUUGGGGAUCGGCGGAGCCCCCCGUGGGCACACGCCGUCCCCCAAAUGCAGUGGCGGUCCCGCCGCAGCUUCCAUCGCGUAGUAGCUAACACCUCGCGACUGGAGAGCGGCGCGGCCACGCCGUAAAACACCCAUCUCUUCUGAAGUUGACCUCGAAUCAGGUAGGAAUACCCGCUGAACUUAAGCAUAUCAAUAAGCGGAGGA